GGAAACUUGGUUUGAUGGUAAAACACUUCACUCUAGACCAUGAAGUCUUGGGUUCAAAUCUCAAAUCCCCCA